CAGCUUCAGCAGCAGAAAUAUUAAAAUGGGAAUGACACAGAGAAGACAAGCAUAACUCCUAGGCAAGGAUGAUACGCAAAUUCAUGAAGCGUUCCAUAAAAAAUUGUU
rnacentral:snRNA from 1 species